rnacentral:tRNA from 3 species
GGGGCUAUAGCUCAGCUGGUAGAGCGCUGCCUUCGCAUGGCAGAGGUCAGGAGUUCGAGUCUCCUUAGCUCCA